rnacentral:rRNA from 1 species
CCUUCGGAACUCUGAGACAGGUGCUGCAUGGCUGUCGUCAGCUCGUGUUGUGAAUGUUGGGUUAAGUCCGCAACGAGCGCAACCCUUAUCCUUAUUUGCCAGCACGUAAUGGUGGGAACUUUAGGGAGACUGCCGGUGAUAAACCGGAGGAAGGUGGGGACGACGUCAAGUCAUCAUGGCCCUUACGAGUAGGGCUACACACGUGCUACAGUGGUCGGUACAGAGGGUUGCGAAGCCGCGAGGUGGAGCUAAUCUCACAAAGCCGGUCGUAGUCCGGAUCGGAGUCUGCAACUCGACUCCGUGAAGUCGGAAUCGCUAGUAAUCGUAGAUCAGAAUGCUAC